GAGAGAGGGAGGGGAGGGGGGGUCCUCCUUCGGUUCGCUCCAGCCAGAGGCGAAGCCAAAGUUUUGCUCUGAUUUGCAGAGAGGGGAGAAGAAGUCGGAGAACGCGAAGAACGGAAGCUGCCUAGAGAGAGAAGGAGGGAAGGAGAGAGGGAGGGAGGGAGAUUGAUGAUUGUUUGGAGGAGCCUAAGAACUUAAUAAUUAUAAUUACCGCCCAAUAAAGUUGCGCUUCCCUUUUCACCUUCCUCCGCCGCUCCUUAUCCAAUCCCCUACUUUGCUGGGACAUUCGGUGCUCGCAAGUCGCAAUUUUGAUUAGGGCGUCUUCAUUUUUCUGGGUGUAAGGGUGAAAAAAAGAGAGAAAGAAACGAAGAAAGAACGGCGGGGCUGAUAAAUCGGAGGGCGAGUGUUUUAGUGAUUUUCGGGUUCUCCCUAGUAGAAUAACAGAGACAUGUUGGAAGGUCGGUCCUGUCUGAUCCCGAGGGUGCUUGCAAACUCUUGCCAGUCAGAAAGCAGUUGGCCAGGUUGCAUGAGUUUCCGGCUUGAAAUUGACAUCGGGAGUAGCAAGCAUUCUCGGGAUAUCGACAGCAACGAAGAUCACCCACGCAGGAAGUCAUUGAGGCUUUCUGAAGCCUCUGAGUUGCAAGAAAUAGAUCAGCUCGCUCAGGAUUCGGGAAAACAAUCCAGUGAUCAACGUCAUGCUGGGGAUAAUUCGCAUUUGGAAUCCCUCAUAGGUGCCAUUGGGAGGGACAACUCGAUCAGCUGUCUCAUCCGCUGCUCGAGAUCUGAUUAUGGUUCCUUAGCCUUGUUGAAUUCGAGCUUUCGGAAUUUGAUCAAGAGCGGUGAGCUUUAUAGAUUGCGUAAGCAGAAUCGUGUGAUUGAGCACUGGAUUUAUUUUUCUUGCCAUUUACUCGAAUGGGAAGCUUUUGAUCCUAUUCGCAGUCGGUGGAUGCAUUUACCCAGAAUGAUCUCCAACGAAUAUGUCAUAUUUCCUGAUAAGGAAUCCUUAGCAGUGGGUACAGAGCUUCUUGUGUUCACUAAGGAUAUGACAAAUUCGCAUGUGAUAUACAAAUAUAGCCUUCUAACACAUUCAUGGACUUCUGGAAUGAGGAUGAAUGCUCCGAGAUGCUUAUUUGGGUCUGCGAGCCUUGGGGAGAUAGCAAUAUUAGCCGGCGGUUGUGAUUCCCAGGGGAACAUUUUUAACUCUGCAGAGAUGUACAAUUCCGAGACUCAAAGGUGGUUGCCUCUUAGUAACAUGCACACGCCCAGAAAGAUGUGCUCAGGAGUGUUUAUGGAUGACAAGUUUUAUGUCAUUGGUGGUAUUGGUAGAAGCGAAACGGGUCAGCCAAGAGUUCUCACAUGUGGGGAGGAGUAUGAUCUAAGGACACAAACUUGGACCGUAAUUCCUAAUAUGUCGCCUGUGAGGGGAGGUGCUGCGAGGGAGGCUGAGGUGCCUGCAGCGGCGGAAGCACCUCCUCUAGUUGCAGUGGUCAACAAUGAGCUGUAUGCAGCUGAUUAUGCUGACAUGGAGGUGAGAAAGUAUGAUAAGGAAAGGAGGGUGUGGUAUACAGUUGGGAGAUUACCUGAACGUGCAGACUCAAUGAAUGGUUGGGGUAUUGCCUUCAGGGCUUGUGGAGAUAGUCUUAUCGUCAUUGGUGGACCAAGGACGCCGGGUGAAGUUUUCAUAGAGAUCAAUUCAUGGGUUCCAAGUGAAGGCCCUCCGCGUUGGAACAUGCUCGCCAGAAAGAGUUCGAGUAACUUUGUGUAUAAUUGUGCUGUGAUGGGAUGCUAAACAGUUGGGUAUUUUAGCAUCUUGUGUACUUUAGCAGUUCCUCCCUCCCAAGGAUUGUACAAGAUUGGCUUCUCCUUCAACACAGGAUUCUUGCUAACGGUUGUGGAGGAUGUUAACAUGAUAGCAGACUUCCUUUGCUGAGUUGGGCAACAUUCACGUACUAGGUCAAGAUGUCCGGGUUGAUAUGAGUGAGACGAAAAGAACGACUGCAGAAAUAUUCAAAACUCCGUGGAUGAAGAUGCUUUUGAACUGGACAAGUUUCAGGCUAACAGUUAAUGAAAUUUCUUUAUGCCAGGCACGUCUGCAAUUUGGUUGAAAAGUAUCAAUAAUAAGAGAUUGUGUAUUUGUGGUCAACUACUAGUGGAGGUGAUACUGGGGCUAUUGGUUUAAUGAUAAUAGUCCAACAAGAAAGAUGUCACCUAGAGUGGGAGAAAUGACUUGUGGGGUGAAAUACUAUAUGGAUCCUGAUGAUUUGAUUUUGGAAAUCUCUCUACAUUCUCUUCCAAUAUUUGAUAAUUGAUUUGUAAAUGGAUCUCCACUGGAAAGGUGUCUAGUUGUGUGAGAAAUGACUUGUGGGUGAGAUGUUUUAUGGAAUCCGACAUUAGGCGUUGA